rnacentral:tmRNA from 2 species
GGGGGCGAAACAGGCUCGACACGCGUGGUAAAGACCCAUCUUUCGCUCGGCAUGGUUCCGCCGUCAUCGGGCCGUAUGACAAGUGCCAACGAUAACUUCGAGGCGCUCGCUGUCGCUGCAUAAGCGAUAAGCGCGGCACGGGGGGCGCCGGGCAACAGAAGCCCCCCACC